rnacentral:rRNA from 1 species
GGCUCAGAACGAACGCUGGCGGCACGUUUUAAGCAUGCAAGUCGAAUGGCAGCAGGGGCAACUCUGUGAGAAUGGCGAACGGGUGAGUAACACGUAGGUGAUCUGCCUUGGGGAUGGGGAUAGCUUAUGGAAACACAGGGUAAUACCGAAUGAGCAGUCUUGGCUUUGGCUGAGAUUGGAAAGGUGCUACGGCACCGCCCUGAGAGGAGCCUGCGGCUGAUUAGCUAGUUGGUGGGGUAAAGGCCUACCAAGGCGACGAUCAGUAGCCGGCCUGAGAGGGUGUACGGCCACACUGGAACUGAGACACGGUCCAGACUCCUACGGGAGGCAGCAGCUAAGAAUCUUCCGCAAUGGGCGAAAGCCUGACGGAGCGAUGCCGCGUGAUCGAUGAAGGUCGAGAGAUUGUAAAGAUCUUUUCCUCAUGAGGAAUAAGGGCUGGAGGGAAUGCCAGUCUGAUGACGUUAGUGAGGGAAUAAGCCCCGGCUAAUUACGUGCCAGCAGCCGCGGUAACACGUAAGGGGCGAGCGUUGUUCGGAAUUAUUGGGCGUAAAGGGCACGCAGGCGGUUUUGCAAGUCUGAUGUGAAAUAUCCGGGCUUAACUCGGGGAACGCGUUGGAAACUGCAAGACUAGAGUAUUGGAGGGGGAGUCGGAAUUCCUAGUGUAGGGGUGAAAUCUGUUGAUAUUAGGAAGAACACCGGUGGCGAAGGUGGACUCCUGGCUGGAUACUGACGCUGAGGUGCGAAAGCAUAGGGAGCAAACAGGAUUAGAUACCCUGGUAGUCUAUGCUGUAAACGAUGUGCACUUGGUGUUGGGCCGAUUAGGCUCAGUGCCGUAGCUAACGCGAUAAGUGCACCGCCUGGGGAGUAUGCCCGCAAGGGGUGAACUC